UCUUCCGCAGCCUUCCUCCGGUCCUCUUUCUCUACCUUCCACUCCUCAUCUUAUCUCUUGCAGCCGCUCCAAAUCCACCAUUUCUGUUCUUCUGGCACCCUUAUAUCCCACCAGCCACAUUCAUGGCCCACCUAUCACCCUUACCUCGAAAAAGAACUUUACACAGUGCAGAGGACUGGGCUUCACUGCCUCAUUUACGUGUCGGUGCCCGCCGUGAUUACCGAUUAGGAGCAAGAAGAAGCCCUCAAUUCGAUUUCGGUCGUUGGUGGAGGCAGAGACAUUAGCAGUAACAACGUUCGGAUUCCACUGCGGCAUAAUCCGAUUGUGGUGGAUUUCAGCUUUCUUGCUCUUUCAGCAAGAUAUUAUGCAGGGUUCAAAUCUUAACUUCUGAUGAUUAGGUCUGCUCCAUUUGAAAUACUACCUGCGAAAAUUAGUUUGCUUUCUACAAUAUGUGGUCUUUGGGCAUAACAUGCCUUAACCUAUGAACAGCUCAAGGAUCAGUCUUAGGCAUUUAUGCACUUCUUGAUUGCCCUUUACACCUCCUUAUCUCUAAGGUGUCAAUAUGAGAACCCUGGUAUGCUGUUGAUUCCCUUAACAAAAGGGUUCUAAUAUUUUUUCUGUGCAAGCAUUAAAAAGGAGGAAGUUUCGUGAGAUAGAGCUCAUAAUAGAAAGGAAAAUAUCACCCGUUGUCUGUUGUUUCUUCAUCUUUCUGUCUGCUUCAGUGUAAAUGUAAAUGUGGGGUUUCACUAUGAAGCAUUAGUAUUUAUAGCUAGCUUCUCACAAAAAUUCAGUUUCAAAAAUAUGUAAUCAUCAUAUUUUUAGCAUGCUUGCUUGCUGUACAUAACUUGGAAAAUUAAACAUUGCAUUGGGAAAUGAUACAUGUUACCUGUCAA